GUGAGGAAUAUUGGUCAAUGGGGGAAACCCUGAACCAGCAACGCCGCGUGAAGGAAGAAGGCUUUCGGGUUGUAAACUUCUUUGACAGGGGACGAAACAAAUGACGGUAACCUGAAAACAAGCCACGGCUAACUACGUGCCAGCAGCCGCGGUAAUACGUAGGUGGCAAGCGUUUUCCGGAUUUACUGGGUGUAACGGGCGUGUAGGCGGGACGGUAAGCCAGAUGUGAAAUGUAGGGGCUCAACCCCUGAACUGCAUUUUAAACUAUCGUUCUUGAGUGAUGGAGAGUCAGGCGGAAGUCCGUGUGUAGCGGUGAAAUGCGUAGAUAUACAGGGGAACACCAGUGGCUAAGGCGGCCUGCUGGACAUUAACUGACGCUGAGACGCGAAAGCGUGGGGAGCAAACUGGAUUAGAUACCCGAGUAGUCC
rnacentral:rRNA from 1 species